UUAAUGAAGGCAUUAAACAGAUGGGACAUAGUCUGAUCCCUUUGGUAACCCAGCAUGUGCUGUGUGAUAGCAGUGUUGAACAAAAGAACGACCGUGCUGGAUCUGGCCUUUUUAAACCCAGGUUUGUCUGAGGAUGCAGCAGAGGAAGGAGAAAAGCCAUGAAAUCUGAAGACAGCCCUCAGGAGGAAUUUUAUCUGAUGUCAAAUGCAUUUAUAAUGCAGCACUAUCAAUCUGUUUUACUUUGUAUUGAUUGCAGCCUCCAGGAGAAGAGGACUGUGUUAAUUUUUACAAAAAUGUUCCAUUCAGAUCAAAUUAGUUGGGUUUCCCUGCCAACUACUAGCGUCCUCUCUGUGACCAAAGUUUAAGCGCUCAUUCAACUGUUGUAGGCAUGUUGUGUUAUGUUUUGUGAUAUAUCAGCCCUUUCCAAGGAUUCUGUUGAUUGAUCAAAGACUGUUUACACACAGUUAAAAGCAACUUUUGUUUCAGGGUUUAUCAGUUUUUAAAGAUAUUCUGAACUGUAGCUCCCUUUGAGAUGACAUGAACAUUUGUUUUAUCACAGUUUUGACAAAACUAUUUCCUUUCCUUCUGUACUAACAUUCAGAAUUUCAGGGAGCUGAACUAACUACCAGAAGGAAAGCUGCUCAUCCAUCAAGUGUUUUUUUUUUUUUCCUUAUAGGGACUCAUGCACUCAAGAGACACAGAGUAAAUUAUGGUUACUAGACAUAAAGGGCAUACCCUUUUGCCAUCAACUAUGAUUCUAUGAAUAUGAAUAAAGUUUACACUCUAAGUACCCUGAGCGCAGCAACACAUGGAUCUUUUUAUGGUGAUUUCUGUUUUUCUUGUGAAUCAAUAUAUUCUAGUUAUGAAUUAGAUUUCCAGGAGUGACUAGCACUUUUUGAGCGUCUAAAUUAUUUUUUGAAUCUAGCUGGGAGGGUGCUUGGAGGGUCCAGUUAUGAGACAGUGCUGAGUAUUCAUGUUUUACACGCCAGGCCCUGUGAGGGGUUGAAAAUGCAACUCGCAGUAACUUCAAAACUGAGGCAACCAAAACACAUUAGAGAAUCUUGGUCUAGAGUUUGGAAGUGUCUCACUUGCAAACAAGAAGCUCUCAAGCUCACGUAUGAAUUAUUGAGAGUUGAAUGUGGUGUCAAUACAAGGUAUUUGGAGUCGAAAAGAAUGGGGGCCUGGGUGAGGUGCACAAAGAUAAUGAGCUGCCCAAGGUCUCCCUUGGCUCUUGCUGGUUCACAGGAAAUUGUGUAGUGCAGUUUGGGUGCAGAUACAGAAUGCAUUGCGGGUCUCAACUUAGUUCUUGGUUGGUGCAGUUGCAUGAGGCAUUUCCAUGGCCCAUAUUCUUGUUGGUUUCCUUGACAGGGAUUUGCCAAGCUACUGUUCUAGUCAUAGAAGACAUCCCUUCAGCAUCUCUCUUUUGCACGGUUUUGGCAGGAAUUAUGACGGUUGCUGUAGUCUACACUAGACAUGUUCUGUGUUUAAAAAGACGUUUUUUUCAGGAUACCUAGCUAGCCAUUUUCAUCACCUCCAUAUCUACUUUCAACCUAAUUGAAUUCCAAAACAAAACCAGUUUCUCCAGUUUCUGCCAAUUGUGCAUCUGCUGCUUAACCCUGCUGUCCUACUCUGGCUCAGUAAACAUGAUAUAGCCCUGUUUCUCAGAGCCAUUUUCAACAUAUUAGCUAAGAGGAGUCAAGAGGCUGAAUAACUGGGUAAGGCUAGUGACAGCUGUAGAACUGAAGUGACCAAUGACACCCUAGUCAUAGAAAUUAGUCUGGUCCACAAGAGACCCUGGAGAUCUGCAAGUUUUGAGGCCAGAAAUCUUGCUGCUUUCCCAGGAAGGCAAAAAUCCUACCCCUGCCUAUUGCAGAGUGAUUCUGCUGGCUUAAUUUUCUUCGCUCUAAUCAGGGACACCCUGUGGCUUGUGUCAGGAGGGCAGUAUCCAACCCAUUGUGAGGAUACCCUACCGCACUGUGAAAAUUACACAAUAAAAUAAUCUCCUGUAGUCUCUGGGCACACCUCACUGACCAAAGAAAAUCCAUGGAGAACUAAUCAAUUACUGUAGCUAUUAGGCUUAAACUUUAACUAUAGAUCUCAAAUCUUCUUUUGUUCUCUUGUCAGUGGCUAUUCGCUUUUCUAGAAAAAUCAGCUGUGCUAAAUACUUGAAACCCAUGCUGUAGAAGUGCCAUUAUCCUGUAGCAUCCUGAACCAAAGAAUCCAAUGCUAUAUACAUGUGAUAGUAACUUGAAAAAAAAUACGAAUAUUAGACAUUUGUGAUAUAUAUUAUUCUUUU